CUGCCAUCCUCGUCCGAGUCCACAAAGCUGCUGGACUCAAGCUCGCUGCUGAGGGCGGUGGACGCGCUGUCUGGGGGCAGCCCCACAUCCCGCCGUCGGUCUCCCCUUGGGUGCCCAUUGGUCCGGGCGGCCUCCUCGCGGUUCCGGCGUCGGGCACGCUCCCGCCGGUGACUGACCAUGGACUCCGUGCCUGUCUCGUUGUCCAUCCCGUCACGGCUGCUGGCCACAUUUGGGUGGAAGGAGGGGGGCCGGGAGUCCCCGAUGCCGCCUGUCCGCUCAAGAGGCGGGGGCAGGUCUGUGUGGCUGUCCGUGCCCUGGGACCCCGCAUCCGAGUGAGCACCCUCAGCCAGGACCAGCCAGGAGACCACGCGGCCGUUGAAGCAGGGAAGCUUGGCAUUGUCAUCAAAGAUCUCCUCCUUCACCACCCCGAAGUCCUGGUCCAUGGACUUAAAGAAGAAUUUGUAGGCGUGCACGGGCCGGUUGCUGAGCACGUUCUUGAAGUCGGCCAGCGUGACGCGCUCGGGGGCCACGGGCAGCUUGACCAGGUACGGCGUCU
rnacentral:lncRNA from 1 species